GAGUUUGAUCAUGGCUCAGAUUGAACGCUGGCGGCAGGCCUAACACAUGCAAGUCGAGCGGAUGACGGGAGCUUGCUCCUUGAUUCAGCGGCGGACGGGUGAGUAAUGCCUAGGAAUCUGCCUGGUAGUGGGGGACAACGUUUCGAAAGGAACGCUAAUACCGCAUACGUCCUACGGGAGAAAGCAGGGACCUUCGGGCCUUGCGCUAUCAGAUGAGCCUAGGUCGGAUUAGCUAGUUGGUGGGUAAUGGCUCACCAAGGCGACGAUCCGUAACUGGUCUGAGAGGAUGAUCAGUCACACUGGAACUGAGACACGGUCCAG
rnacentral:rRNA from 1 species